rnacentral:rRNA from 1 species
UAAUACUAAGUGGAGGACCGAACCGACUGAUGUUGAAAAAUCAGCGGAUGAAUUGUGGUUAGGGGUGAAAUGCCAAUCGAAUUCGGAGCUAGCUGGUUCUCCCCGAAAUGCGUUUUGGCGCAGCGAUAAAUGUUAUAACUUAGGGGUAAAGCACUGUUACGUAUGCGGGCUGGUAAUUCGGUACCAAAUCGUUGCAAACUAAGAAUACUAAGUGUACAGUUUAUCAGUGAGACUGUGGGGGAUAAGCUCCAUUGUCAAGAGGGAAACAGCCCAGAGCACCAGUUAAGGCCCCUAAAUAAUUACUAAGUGAUAAAGGAGGUGGGAGUGCAAAAACAAUCAGGAGGUUUGCUUAGAAGCAGCAAUCCUUUAAAGAGUGCGUAAUAGCUCACUGAUCGAGUAAACCUGCGCCGAAAAUGUACGGGACUAAGUAAUUUGCCGAAACUGUGCGAUAUAUUUGAAAUAUAUCGGUAGGGGAGCGUUCUGUUGUAGAUUGAAGUAUUAGCGUAAGCGGAUAUGGACGAAGCAGAAGUGAGAAUGUCGGCUUGAGUAACGAAAAUAUAGGUGAGAAUCCUAUACCCCGAAAACCCAAGGUUUCCUCCGGAAGGCUCGUCCGCGGAGGGUAAGUCAGGACCUAAGGCGAGGCUGAAAAGCGUAGUCGAUGGACAACGGGUUAAUAUUCCCGUACCAUUAUUUAUUGAUAACGAGGGACGGAGAAGGCUAAGCUGGCCGGAUGUUGGUUACCGGUUUAAACGUUCGAGAUGAUGAGAAACGGAGAAAACGUUUUGAGUUGAGGCGUGAGUACGAGAUGCUACGGCAUUGAAGCAGUGUAUGUCAGACUUCCAAGAAAAGCUCGCAAUGUCAUAAAUAAAUAAUGCCUGUACCAUAACCGACACAGGUGGGUAGGUAGAGUAUACUAAGGGGCGCGAGAUAACUCUCUCUAAGGAACUCGGCAAAAUGACUCCGUAACUUCGGGAGAAGGAGUGCCUUAUUUAUAAGGUUGCAAUAACAAGAUCCAAGCAACUGUUUACCAAAAACACAGGUCUCCGCUAAGUCGUAAGACGAUGUAUGGGGGCUGACGCCUGCCCAGUGCCAGAAGGUUAAAGAAGUUGGUUAGCAUUAGCGAAGCUGAUAACUGAAGCCCUGGUGAACGGCGGCCGUAACUAUAACGGUCCUAAGGUAGCGAAAUUCCUUGUCGGGUAAGUUCCGACCCGCACGAAAGGCGUAAUGAUUUGGAUACUGUCUCGGAGAGGGGCUCGGUGAAAUAGACUUGUCUGUGAAGAUGCGGACUACCUGCACCUGGACAGAAAGACCCUAUGAAGCUUUACUGUAACUUGAAAUUGAAAUUGGACUUUACUUGCGCAGUAUAGGUGGGAGGCAUUGAUUUUAUUCUUGCGGGAAUUUAGGAGCCAUCAGUGAGAUACCACUCUGGUAAUGUUAGAUUUCUAACUUUGUAUCAUAAUCUGGUCAAAGGACAGUUUCAGGCGGGCAGUUUGACUGGGGCGGUCGCCUCCUAAACGGUAACGGAGGCGUACAAAGGUUUCCUCUGAACGUGUAGAAAUCGUAUCUGGAGUGUAAAGGCAUAAGGAAGCUUGACUGUGAGACCUACAAGUCGAGCAGGGACGAAAGUCGGUCUUAGUGAUCUGACGGUGCUGAGUGGAAAGGCCGUCACUCAACGGAUAAAAGUUACUCUAGGGAUAACAGGCUGAUCUCCCCCAAGAGUUCACAUCGACGGGGAGGUUUGGCACCUCGAUGUCGGCUCAUCGCAUCCUGGGGCGGUAGUACGUCCCAAGGGUUGGGCUGUUCGCCCAUGAAAGCGGUACGCGAGCUGGGUUCAGAACGUCGUGAGACAGUUCGGUCCAUAUCCGGUGUAGGCGUUAGAAUAUUGAGAGGAGCCUUCUUUAGUACGAGAGGACCGAGAAGGACAUACCUCUGGUGUACCAGUUAUCGUGCCAACGGUAAACGCUGGGUAGCUAUGUAUGGAGAGGAUAACCGCUGAAAGCAUCUAAGUGGGAAGCCCACCUCAAGAUAAGUAUUCUCAUCACGUAAGUGAGUAAGGUCACGGUAAGACUAACCGUUUGAUAGGCAUUAAGUGUAAAUGUAGUAAUAUAUGAGCUGAGAUGUCCUAACAGACCGAGGACUUGAAUUU